rnacentral:rRNA from 1 species
CCUACGGGCGGCAGCAGUGGGGAAUAUUGGACAAUGGGGGCAACCCUGAUCCAGCCAUGCCGCGUGUGUGAAGAAGGCCCUCGGGUUGUAAAGCACUUUCAGUGGGGAAGAACGCCUGGUGGUUAAUACCCAUCAGGAAAGACAUCACUCACAGAAGAAGCACCGGCUAACUCCGUGCCAGCAGCCGCGGUAAUACGGAGGGUGCGAGCGUUAAUCGGAAUUACUGGGCGUAAAGCGCGCGUAGGUGGCUUGAUAAGCCGGGUGUGAAAGCCCCGGGCUCAACCUGGGAACGGCAUCCGGAACUGUCAAGCUAGAGUGCAGGAGAGGAAGGUAGAAUUCCCAGUGUAGCGGUGAAAUGCGUAGAGAUCGGGAGGAAUACCAGUGGCGAAGGCGGCCUUCUGGACUAUGACUGACGCUGAGGUGCGAAAGCGUGGGUAGCAAACAGGAUUAGAUACCCUGGUAGUC